CCUACGGGAGGCAGCAGUGAGGAAUAUUGGUCAAUGGCCGUAAGGCUGAACCAGCCAAGUCGCGUGAAGGAAGAAGGAUCUAUGGUUUGUAAACUUCUUUUAUAGGGGAAUAAAGGUAUCCACGUGUGGAUCUUUGCAUGUACCCUAUGAGUAAGCAUCGGCUAACUCCGUGCCAGCAGCCGCGGUAAUACGGAGGAUGCGAGCGUUAUCCGGAUUUAUUGGGUUUAAAGGGUGCGUAGGUUGUUUUUUAAGUCAGCGGUGAAAGUUUGUGGCUCAACCAUAAAAGUGCCGUUGAAACGGGAAGACUUGAGUGUGUUUGAGGUAGGCGGAAUGCGUGGUGUAGCGGUGAAAUGCAUAGAUAUCACGCAGAACUCCGAUGGCGAAGGCAGCUUACUAAGCCAUAACUGACACUGAAGCACGAAAGCGUGGGGAUCAAACAGGAUUAGAUACCCUAGUAGUC
rnacentral:rRNA from 1 species